UACGGGGGAUGCGAGCGUUAUCCGGAAUUAUUGGGCGUAAAGCGUCCGUAGGCGGCCGAGCAAGUUUGUUGUUAAAGCGUGCAGCUUAACUGCAUAAGGGCAAUGAAAACUGCUUGGCUAGAGUGUGGUAGGGGUAGAGGGAAUUCCCGGUGUAGCGGUGAAAUGCGUAGAUAUCGGGAAGAACACCAGUGGCGAAAGCGCUCUGCUGGGCCACAACUGACGCUGAUGGACGAAAGCUAGGGGAGCGAAAGGG
rnacentral:rRNA from 1 species